CGAUAUUCUUGAUAAAAAUCCUCUGUAUAAUAUUUUAAUCAAUAUGAAUAUGUGCUUCCAUACAAGAUCAAAGACAAAAACUACUACAUAGUUUUAAGAUAAUUUAUAUAAUUUUUAAAUAAAACUACACUGCAUAAUUUUGAUAUAACAAACUAAACAAAUAUACCCAACAUUAAUCCCUAAUUCAAUCAAGCCUCCACCCUCGCAAAACCUUGUUGCUGUCUCCUCGUGGUGUCGCCUCCACCCGCUGCUGCAUUCUUCAUCGGCUGCUGCUGUCCCUUUGUUGCUGGCUGCUGCUGUCUACUCGUUGUGUCGCCUCCACCCGCUGCUGCAUUCUUCAUCGGCUGCUGCUGUCCCUUUGCUGCUGUCGCCUUAAGGUAAAUUUCUGUCGCCCUUCUUGUUGUUGGUAUACGAAGUGCAGAGUCUGUUUGCUUUGUGUAUGCCGACUAAAUUAUUUGAUCUUUUCGCUUCUGACAAGAUAAUAUUCAGAUGUUUAAGUUGAGGAUAUGACUAAAGGUGAGAUAGUGUGAUUUUCAUUUUCAUAAACGUGUCUAUUCAUUGGUUACUGCAAAUGUGUGAGCGAGAAAUUUGUGCUGGUCAGAGAGCCAAUAGAACAUAGGAUUAUCCAAAGUUGGUUAUAGAUGCAUUGUAACUCAUCCUUGUCAGAGUGAUCGAAUUUUCUCUUGCCCUCCAAUCAUGUGAAGCUGGGUUCUUGUCUGUGCCUGCUGAAGCUUCUACUUAUGUAUUUUCUUGAUCUUUUGCAUUUUGUUUCAACUUUGAGCUUGUAGUAUUUACAUCUUCUGUGUUCUUCCUUGUGAAUUUCCACUUAUCUUCUGAUUAGUCUAUCCUAGUUGAAUGUUUGAUAUAUGAUGUGCAAAUUUCUGUCGCAGGAUUAUUUAAUAUGCUAACUGUGUUUUUUUUUUUUCAAAUGUGGGGAUACAUUUUGUGCUUUCCACUUCAAUACCGGAUAGUUUUGGUAUAUGAGAAUAUGUAUGCCGGAUAUGUGAAUGCAUCAAGUUCUUUUUCUUCUGCGAUGCUGUGUGUUUUCUUAAUGCCCCUUAUAAAUUUGAGGAAAAAGUGCAAAUGAUUUGCUGGUGAGCAGUGGAGUCCUAUGGUGAUGGUUGAUGCCUCUGGGAGGAAAUAAUCGUUGCACUGCAACAAAUUGACUGAAUGACCUUCCCUCUCGGACACGCUUUAUGCAAAAUGUAGGUCAUUUGAUAAUUGGAAAUUCUUCAAUUCCUGUUAAUGAAAUCACUCAGAACUCCACAUAUGUUUUCCUGGAAUAAUGUUUUCUUGUAAAAUAAAAAACGGAGGCUUCUUAUGUUUUAGCAAACAUGGCUUUUGCUAUGAAGUCGCUCCCCAACAGUGCAUGAUGCAUGGCUGAGCAAUGGUCCUUUCUUAUUGAGUUGAUUAUUAUUAAUGUAGUUUGUCUAGUUUUGAUAAUCUAAAAAUGUUCCAAAUAUGAAUCACGAUUGCAAGUGAGCAGGGGUCAAAUCUGAGAUGGGAUCAAAAAAUAAGAAAACGCAUUGUAGAGGAAAGAAUUUAUUCAGUUGCUAGAAACAUAUUGCUUGGGGGGAUCAAGUGUGAAUAAUUUUAUAGUAGAUAGCUAGAUGGUAAGAGCACCAUGUGAUGGUAAAUGCCGGUCUUCAUUUCAGUGAAAGCAUUUUUGCUUUUAUUUUGUAUGCUCACUUGGGAGAACCAGAGACCCACUCCAUAGCACAUAAUGUCCUAAAUUAUGGUAAUUAGCAUAGUUUUUAGCACUAGUGGUUGGUAGGCAAUUGGAACUCCGUGGACAGUCUCCUCAUUGGUGCCAGCCAAUGGAUACCGGAGACGUCUACAUGCUGUGUCGAUCGGCCUCAUGAUGAUGCAGCUGUUUGUUCAAAAAAAAUAAUUAAGAAAACCUCAUUUAGCUGUGUCGAUCACAUACAAUCAAGCCCAGUUUGUAUAUCAAAUUAAAGCCUUUGCUUCUAAACCCAAUCCCAAUCCUGCUGAUAAUCUCGUCUCUUUCCUCAAUAAUGCCAAAGGCGCAACUGUCGAUAGUGCUGUUAAGAAGAUUGGUCUGCGGGGCCAGUUCCGUGUUGUCAUGAUUGGAACUCUUACUGGAGCACAGUGGGGUAUCUAUGAUGCAUUCAAAGCUUCUGUAGGACUUUCAGCUACUGCUGGUGGUGCUGCUCCUGCAGCCCUGCUGAGCUUGUAAUUUCUGAAAACAGUACGUUGGAAUAAUAUGCACAGAACUCACUAGAUUGAUAUUAAAAAACACAACUCAGCAGUGUAACAGGUUCAGUACUAUGGAAAAGGAGCUCCAGGCACCACUAGGACCGACAUAUCAUUUUCAAUUGCGUACCAGUUGAACAUGGUGGACGCAUAAUGCCUAAAAAACUGAAAAUUUGAUUCUGUUUCAUGGAUAUUCUGGAUCAUUUAGAUUUAUUCAAUUUAUUCACAAUGUUAUAGAUAUGUGAGAAAUUCAGCAAAAUUGAUAUUUUAUUCCACUAUUAUACAACAUUUCAGUGAAGGUAAGAUUUUUAUGAUACUA